UACGUAGGGUGCGAGCGUUAAUCGGAAUUACUGGGCGUAAAGCGUGCGCAGGCGGUAAGUUAAGUCUGAUGUGAAAGCCCCGGGCUCAACCUGGGAAUGGCAUUGGAAACUGGCUUGCUGGAGUGUGGCAGAGGGGGGUGGAAUUCCGCGUGUAGCAGUGAAAUGCGUAGAGAUGCGGAGGAACACCGAUGGCGAGGGCAGCCCCCUGGGCCAACACUGACGCUCAGGCACGAAAGCGUGGGGAGCAAACAGG
rnacentral:rRNA from 1 species